rnacentral:rRNA from 1 species
GAUUAUGGCUCAGGAUGAACGCUAGCUACAGGCUUAACACGAUGCAAGUCGAGGGGAAACGAUAUGAAAGCUGCUUCUUAGGCGUCGACCGGCGAAUGGGUGAGUAACGCGUAUCCAACCGUGCCCCUGAGUAAGGGAUAGCCCAUCGAAAGAUGGAUUAAUACCUUAUGGUUUCCUUUGAAGGCAUCCGAUUAGGAAUAAGAUUUAUCGCUGAGGGAUGGGGACGCGUCUGAUUAGCUUGUUGGCGGGUAACGGCCACCAAGGCAACGGAUCAGUAGGGGUUCUGAGAGGAAGGUCCCCCACAUUGGUACUGAGACACGGACCAAACUCCUACGGGAGGCAGCAGUGAGGAAUAUUGGUCAAUGGGCGCAAGCCUGAACCAGCCAAGUAGCGUGCAGGACGACUGCCCUAUGGGUUGUAAACUGCUUUUAUACGGGGAUAAAGUCAGGGUCGUGACCCUGUUUGCAGGUACCGUAUGAAUAAGGACCGGCUAAUUCCGUGCCAGCAGCAGC